GAAUAUUGCACAAUGGGCGCAAGCCUGAUGCAGCGACGCCGCGUGAGCGAAGAAGGUUUUCGGAUCGUAAAGCUCUGUCCUUUGGGAAGAAAAAAAUGACGGUACCAAAGGAGGAAGCCCCGGCUAACUACGUGCCCGCAGCCGCGGUAAUACGUAGGGGGCGAGCGUUGUCCGGAUUUACUGGGCGUAAAGGGUGAGUAGGCGGUAACGUGUGUCAGAUGUUUAAUCUAUGGGCUCAACCCAUAUCAGCAUUUGAAACUGCGUAACUUGAGUGCAGGAGAGGUAAGUGGAAUUCCUAGUGUAGCGGUGAAAUGCGUAGAUAUUAGGAGGAACACCAGUGGCGAAGGCGACUUACUGGACUGUAACUGACGCUGAGACACGAAAGCGUGGGGAGCGAACAG
rnacentral:rRNA from 1 species